rnacentral:lncRNA from 1 species
UAAAUUCUAAUAAAAAUCUAAAUAAAUCUUAAAUUCUAACCAAAUCCUGAUCCUAAUCCAACCUUAAUCAAAUCCUAGACAAAUCCUAAACCCUAAACAUACCCUAGUCAAAUCUUAGACAAAUCCUCAUCCUAACAAAUUCUAAUCAAUUCCAAAUCCUAAACAAACCCUAAUCAAAUCUUUAAAAAACCCUAGUCAAAUCCUAGUCAAACUCUAACU